rnacentral:rRNA from 1 species
UACGUAGGGUGCAAGCGUUGUCCGGAAUUAUUGGGCGUAAAGAGCUCGUAGGCGGUCUGUUGCGUCGGCUGUGAAAACCCGGGGCUCAACCCCGGGCCUGCAGCCGAUACGGGCAGACUAGAGUUCGGCAGGGGAGACUGGAAUUCCUGGUGUAGCGGUGAAAUGCGCAGAUAUCAGGAGGAACACCGGUGGCGAAGGCGGGUCUCUGGGCCGGUACUGACGCUGAGGAGCGAAAGCGUGGGGAGCAAACAGG